UCACCUGGUGACUGCACAGGAGUUGGAGGAUUAUAUGGAGGAGGUGGGGAAAAGGGGGGAGCACCAGGGCAAGGUUUUGUGGUCCCAGGACCACACAAGGAAGGGUUUUUUACCUGAUAGGGGUGAAUAAUGAAAAGGAACCAGUUGAUGGAACUUCUCCAGACAAAUUGUUGUUUGAAAGAUC
rnacentral:sRNA from 1 species